CUCUCUUAGUAAAUCAUGCUGCAGAACAAUCGUAGAGUCAUAAUCUUCACUUGCAUCUUUCCUGAUGAAUGACACAAGUUGACAGCUUAAAAUGGUAUUCAUUUACCAAGAUAAUCACUACCAUGCACAUCUGAUGCAAAAACUACAAUAACAGAGUUUAGCUAGAACAAGAAAUCCAUCAGAGAAAAAUGGAAAACAGCCUACAAUUUAAUCUCCAAAAAAUAAAUAGUAGCUAUCUUUGUCUUAUAUCUCUCUUUUUUUCCUAUGAUAUUGGUACUUGGUUUUCCAUGGGAAGAUCAGUGAGCUAUUAACAUAAAAAAAAGAAGAGGAGAACUUGGAUCCGUAAUUGUUCAUACUUCAUUGAUCUUUUGCAAAAACAUAUAUAUAGGAGACAUAAACAUAUACUAAAUGCCAGGUCCAUACCAGCUACAACUACAAGUUGCUUCCCAAGACAAAAUCCUUAAAUCAAGGAUUUGCACAACUUUUCUACCUAAUCCUUGCCCAACUAAAUACAGCAGCAAAAAUAUACCAGAAAAUAAAAAAGAACUUUCUCUAGCUUUAAAGUAUCUAGAAACAUAUCUCAGUCUGACAAAAUGCUUUCCGUUAGAAUGUCAAAAAAUUUUAUUCUACUAAAAAUCCCACUCAUGUAGGGUCGUUAAUUCUAAUGAAUUUUCAAUGAUUAUUAAAAGUUGCCUAAGCCACAGAACUAACACCAACUUCUUUGGUUUUAAAAAGCAUCACAACAAAUCAUGUUAGCAACAAAACACUCGUGCCUAGCGAUUAGCAUACCUCGUAACUACAAUAUCAAUCAGAUUUCGUUCAGAGAG
rnacentral:misc_RNA from 1 species